rnacentral:rRNA from 1 species
AUACAACUUUCAACAACGGAUCUCUUGGCUCUCGCAUCGAUGAAGAACGCAGCGAAAUGCGAUAAGUAAUGUGAAUUGCAGAUUUUCAAGUGAAUCAUCGAAUCUUUGNACGCACCUUGCNCUCCUUGGUAUUCCGAGGAGCAUGCCUGUUUGAGU